rnacentral:lncRNA from 1 species
CUAAAACACCAAAUUUUAUAAAUUUUAAAUAAACAUAAUUUAAAUAGCUACAUGUGGCUGGUGUCUACCAUAUUUAGAGAGUACAGGUCUAUUCCAAGGAACAGAAUUAUUAGAUAAUCAGGUAUGCAUAUUUAAGCAUUACUAGCUAAUGUAGAAUUGCUCUCCAGAAUAGACUCCAAUGUUUGUUUUCAACUGCCUGUAAUAUGCAAUGAUCUAUUUCCCCAUCUCCUUGGCUAUAUACUUAGUUUUAUUAGUUUAUACAUUUUUUAGAUAAUUUGAUGAGUAUAAAAUUGUAUCUCAUUAACGGUUGAUUUGUAAUUCCCUUUGUGGUGCUGUAAUACUCAUACAUCUAUCAAGGACUCUUUUUUCCUCCCUUUAAAAUUAUCUACUUAUUUUUUCUUUGUAAGCGUCAUCUUUUUUUCAUUGUGGGAGUUCUUCAUAAACUUGUCAUUUUACUUGAUAAAAGGUCAUACUUAAAAGUCUGAGGCUUCUCAUUCACUUGAAUCUGUAGUCUUUUGUUACAUAGUUGUUUAAAUUUUUGAUACAUAUCUAUAUUUUCCCUCAUUGUUUCAAGUGUUAGUGCCUUUCCUAAGGAACCUUUUCUUAUUAUGAUGUCACAAAUGUAUUCUGCUAUGUCUACUGGGAGAAUACACUAGUGGGGAUAGUUCUGUGUAUACAGUGAUUAAGCACAUAGGUUCUGGAGCCAGUCUGUUUCUUUCAAAAUCACCUCAUUGCUUUUGAAGAAUCAGGGAAACCCCCAUGAGACUACAGGUGUGAAGCAAGAUAGAAGCAUCAGUGCAAAAGAGUACUGCAUUUCCAAAUAAAGCCACUCACAAUCUUUAAUCAGGCUGUAAAUUUUAAGAAAUCUGGACCAAGACAGUUUGCUCCAAGAGUAUCCCACAAAUGCAGAUCUUCAGAGUGAGAUUUUAUUAUUGGAUUGCUCACCUGUCUGUUGGUAAGUGAGAUGACAAUAACAAAGUGAAGAUGAUAAUAACUUGACAUGCAGUGGUACCACAAUUGUUAAACACUGGCCUAUGGUUAAUUGUGAACAAGGCUUGGGGAAAUCAAAUGGGUACAUCAUUUGAUCACUGUGGAGACAAUGAUACUUAUGAAGAUUGUAAUUUCAGAUG